rnacentral:rRNA from 1 species
UACGAAGGGGGGCUAGCGUUGCUCGGAAUCACUGGGCGUAAAGGGUGCGUAGGCGGGUCUUUUAAGUCAGGGGGUGAAAUCCUGGAGCUCAACUCCAGAACUGCCUUUGAUACUGAGGAUCUUGAGUUCGGGAGAGGUGAGUGGAACUGCGAGUGUAGAGGUGAAAUUCGUAGAUAUUCGCAAGAACACCAGUGGCGAAGGCGGCUCACUGGCCCGAUACUGACGCUGAGGCACGAAAGCGUGGGGGAGCGAACAGG